rnacentral:antisense_RNA from 1 species
CCCAAUGAUGAGCUAGGCAGGAGAUCCGAAAGGGUCGCCGUUUUACUCUGUAUCAACGGUAAGGUCAAUCUUGUCUAGUUCAUCACCAAU